rnacentral:rRNA from 1 species
ACGUACGCUGGCGGCACGCCUAACACAUGCAAGUCGAACGAAGUAGCAAUACUUAGUGGCAGACGGGUGAGUAACAUGUGGGUAUCUACCCUUUGGCCUGGAAUAACACGAGGAAACUUGUGCUAAUACCGGAUAAGUCUUUACGGAGAAAGCUUUAUGCACCAUUGGAUGAGCCCGCACUUGAUUAGUUUGUUGGUAGGGUAAUGGCCUACCAAGACUAUGAUCAAUAGCUGAUUUGAGAGGAUGAUCAGCCACAUUGGGACUGAGACACGGCCCAAACUCCUACGGGAGGCAGCAGUGGGGAAUCUUGCACAAUGGAGGAAACUCUGAUGCAGCGAUGCCGCGUGAGUGAAGAAGGCCUUUGGGUUGUAAAGCUCUUUCGUCGGGGAAGAAAAUGACUGUACCCGAAUAAGAAGGUCCGGC